ACCUCUUUUUCCCCCUUUUUUCUGAAUCACUGGGCGUAAAGCGCAUGUAGGCGGUUUGGAAAGUCGGAUGUGAAAUCCCACGGCUCAACCCUGGAAGUGCAUUCGAAACUGCCAGACUAGAGUCCUGGAGAGGAAGGCGGAAUACUGGGUGUAGAGGUGAAAUUCGUAGAUAUCCAGUGGAACACCGGUGGCGAAGGCGGCCUUCUGGACAGUGACUGACGCUGAAAUGCGAAAGCGUGGGGAGCAAACAG
rnacentral:rRNA from 1 species